rnacentral:rRNA from 1 species
AGUUCCUGGUCAAAGCUGGCAGCUUAACUGUCAGUUCGCUAGGAAUACUAUCUUACUAGAGGGUGGGAAAGGUCCGAGGUACUCCAGGGGUAGCGGUGAAAUGCGAUAAUCCUUGGGGGACCACCAGUGGCGAAGGCGUCAGACUGGAACACGCCUGACGGUGAGGGACGAAAGCCAGGGGAGCGAACGGGAUUAGAUACCCCGGUAGUCCUGGCUGUAAACGUUGCGUGCUAGGUGUUGGUAAGGCUCGGAGCUGUAUCAGUGCCAAAGGGAAACUGUUAAGCGCGCCGCCUGGGAAGUACGCUCGCAAGAGUGAAACGUAAAGGAAUUGGCGGGGGAGCACCACAAGGGGUGAAGCCUGCGGUUCAAUUGGGCUCAACGCCGGGAAACUUACCGAGGGCGACAGCAGAGUGAAGGUCAGGCUGACGACCUUACCAGACAAGCUGAGCGGAGGUGCAUGGCCGUCGCCAGUUCGUGCCGUGAGGUAUCCUGUUAAGUCAGGCAACGAACGAGACCCACAUGUUUAAUUGCCAGCAAUAGCCUACGGGUUAGUUGGGAACGUUAAACAGUCUGCCAUCGUACAGAUGGAGGAAGG